rnacentral:rRNA from 1 species
GGUGCUAACGUCCGUCGUGAAGAGGGAAACAACCCAGACCGCCAGCUAAGGUCCCAAAGUCAUGGUUAAGUGGGAAACGAUGUGGGAAGGCCCAGACAGCCAGGAUGUUGGCUUAGAAGCAGCCAUCAUUUAAAGAAAGCGUAAUAGCUCACUGGUCGAGUCGGCCUGCGCGGAAGAUGUAACGGGGCUAAACCAUGCACCGAAGCUGCGGCAGCGACACUGUGUGUUGUUGGGUAGGGGAGCGUUCUGUAAGCCUGUGAAGGUGUGUCGUGAGGCAUGCUGGAGGUAUCAGAAGUGCGAAUGCUGACAUAAGUAACGAUAAAGCGGGUGAAAAGCCCGCUCGCCGGAAGACCAAGGGUUCCUGUCCAACGUUAAUCGGGGCAGGGUGAGUCGACCCCUAAGGCGAGGCCGAAAGGCGUAGUCGAUGGGAAACGGGUUAAUAUUCCCGUACUUGGUGUUACUGCGAAGGGGGGACGGAGAAGGCUAUGUUGGCCGGGCGACGGUUGUCCCGGUUUAAGCGUGUAGGUGUGUGUUCCAGGUAAAUCCGGUUCACUUUAAC